rnacentral:lncRNA from 1 species
CAGAGGUGACCUGGGUUUGUCAACGUGCGUUACGGUCCCAGAACUGUGCAUCAAAGCAGACCCUCUGGGGAAUCGUACACAUGUAAAUUAGAAGUUCAACCCCUGAAGAAGUUUUAAGAAAUAAUUACCACCAUUCCACCUCUACUCUAUCCGAGUUCCACCUUGAUCGAGUGAUAAGUCCAAGAAAGUCCAAGAAAUACAGAAAGGUGAUUUCCCGUGUUAUUGGAUCCCCAGGAAGCAGUUAUUAGGUACCGAAUUGCCUAUGGUUCUAAGCACUGUAGAGAGAGAACUGCAUAGAAGUCUCUUCCUCUCCCCUCUCUCUGUUUUCAAGACCUUACCUUGUAAGGCAGACAUCACUUACCUGGACAAACAGGUUCAGGACACAGCGACGGCAGGUGGGAACUUGAAAACAUACCGGCGGUUGGCCACUGAAGCACUCACCUGGUCAGCAUCAGUGCAUUUUCGGCGUGAGAAGCCAGGAGAAAAGUACACGAGGCUGAGUAGCUGGGCUGACUGGGGACAGAGGUCCCACCCAUCUCAAGAUACCUGCACUGAAGCAGCGUGGUCCCCGAAGCAUUACCCACCUCAUAGAAUGAGGCUGGCACAGGCCUGAGGGAGCAGCAUGAUGAAGACCAGACAGCGAGAAACCUGCUGUAACACCAGAACUGGAGUUUCAAAACCCUCGGUUGCUCAGACCAUUUCUCUUGACCCCUAUCCAGGGGAGUUUCAUUCCACAGAGAAGUCAAAGGACCUCACUAUUGCACUAUUCAUCCUUACUGAGUCCCAUGGUUUUUUGGUUGGUUUGUUCGUUUUACUUUUGUCUUUGUCUUUUUAGGGCCUCACCUGUGGCAUAUGGAGGUUCCCAGGCUAGGGGUCUAAUCAAAGCUGUUGCCACCGGCCUAUGCCACAGCCACAGCAAUGCCAGAUCUGAGCCGCAUCUGUGACCUACACCACAGCUCACGGCAACGCUGGAACCUUAACCCACUAAGCGAGGCCAGGGAUCGAACCCAAAACCUCAUGGUUCCUAGUCAGAUUAAUUUCCACUGUGCCACAAGGGGAACUCCGAGUCCUACAGUUUUAAAACAGUCGAUGAGGGAGUUCCCUUCAUGGCUCAGAAGUUAACAAACCCGACUAGGAUCCAUGAGGAUGUAGGUUCCAGCUCUGGCCUCGCUCAUUGGGUUAAGCAUUCAGCAUUGCCAUGAGCUGUGUCAUAGCUCCAAUUUGACCCCUCGCCUGGGAACUUCCAUAUGUGGAGGGCGAGGCCCUAAAAAAGCUAAAUAAAUGAAUGAAUGAAUGAAUGAAUGAAUGAAAC